GACCUCGUGGUGUAACUGGUAACACACAGCUUCGCAAUUGGAGAGGUGGAAACAUUCCUUCAUAGUCGGAAGGAGUUCUUGGUUCGAAUCCAAGCCUGGUCA
rnacentral:tRNA from 1 species